GCGGGCGUGGCGGAAUUGGAAGACGCGCCAGGUUUAGGUCCUGGUGAGCACUGCUCGUGGGGGUUCGAGUCCCUCCGCCCGCACCA
rnacentral:tRNA from 1 species